rnacentral:rRNA from 1 species
AAAUGAAUAGACGGGAGCCCGCACAAGCAGUGGAGUAUGUGGUUUAAUUCGACGCAACGCGAAAAACCUUACCAAGAAUUGACAUCCUAAGAAGUCGGCGUAAUGGCUGAUGUGCUCCUUCGGGAGAACUUAGAGACAGGUGGUGCAUGGUUGUCGUCAGCUCGUGUCGUGAGAUGUUGGGUUAAGUCCCGCAACGAGCGCAACCCUUACCGUCAGUUGCUACGCAAGAGCACUCUGGCAGGACUGCCGUUGACAAAACGGAGGAAGGUGGGGACGACGUCAAAUCAUCAUGCCCCUUAUAUCUUGGGCUACACACGUACUACAAUGGCGCAAACAAAGAGUCGCGACCCCGCGAGGGUGAGCAAAUCUCAUAAAAGGCGCCCCAGUUCAGACUGCAGGCUGCAACUCGCCUGCACGAAGUUGGAAUUGCUAGUAAUCGCGAAUCAGCAUGUCGCGGUGAAUACGUUCCCGGGCUUUGUACACACCGCCCGU